AUAGGCAUACAGCUGUCUAAAAAGAAAUUAUUUUCUCCAUUUACUAUUCUCAAAGUAAAUGAGUUGCUUUGUCAGUGAAUGUGGGUUCAUCUGAAAUUUACAUGCAGGGACCUUUUUUGCAUAAAGCAGGCAAAAUCCUGAAUUACUAAUGGUUUUCUCAUUUCUUUCAGUGGUUGGCUAUCCUGGAAGGAAGGAAACUAAAGUUUAUUCCACAGGCACUCUCUCUUUAUUGCUGUAAUGGGAACAUUGCACUGAGAAUAUAGAGACAGAUAGAAAAUUCAUCUGGAGGAACAAGAUACUCUCUUCAUUGGUUUAAGCAGGGCUUGGAUCAGACUUGUUACAAACAAACCUCAGAAUCUGAACAUAUCACCAAACUAAUCCCAAUUCUAGAUUGUCAGCUGACUCCUGUAGUUUUCUGAGGUGGGUCUUCUAGUUCCUUGGAAAGCUGUCUUUACACUUAGAGCAGAAUGUCAAUAUUUCUAUCUCAUGGAAUUUAAUCUGAACUCAUGGAAGAAUUUGCCUCAGUGUACUUCUGAUAUUCCUGUCUGAGAUGAGCAAUUUGGAGACAGUAUUUCUAUCACUUGUGAAAUAGCAUGCGUUCUAACCAACAAAAGGACAAAAUCUACUUUUCUAAUUUUGGAGGAGGGGUGGAAGCAUGGAGAUGAUAUCCGGAGGUGAUACCACAGUUCUGAUGAUGGAUCCUGGCAUACCAAAGGAACUGCCAGGUGUGUGCCAGACUUUUCACUUAGUAACAUACGCAUGGCCAGACUUCAGUAAAUGGGGGCAGAGUGAAAAAAUCUUGUGUUGAUUCGUGAC